rnacentral:rRNA from 1 species
GACGAACGCUGGCGGCGUGCUUAAUACAUGCAAGUCGAGCGAGGUUACUGUUUCGGAUCCCUUCGGGGUGAAGAAGCUUUAACCUAGCGGCGGACGGGUGAGUAACGCGUGGGUAACCUACCCCAAAGUCCGGGAUAACAGCGGGAAACCGCUGCUAAUACCGGAUGUCUUUACCUUGGGGCAUCUUGAGGUAAAGAAAGGUAACGCUUUGGGAUGGGCCCGCGUCCCAUUAGCUAGUUGGUGAGGUAACGGCUCACCAAGGCGACGAUGGGUAGCCGGCCUGAGAGGGUGGACGGCCACACUGGGACUGAGACACGGCCCAGACUCCUACGGGAGGCGGCAGUAGGGAAUAUUGCGCAAUGGACGGAAGUCUGACGCAGCGACGCCGCGUGAGCGAUGAAGGUCUUCGGAUCGUAAAGCUCUGUCCUUGGGGAAGAAGGCGAAAGCUUGACGGUACCCAAGAAGAAAGCCCCGGCUAACUACGUGCCAGCAGCCGCGGUAAUACGUAGGGGGCGAGCGUUGUCCGGAAUUACUGGGCGUAAAGGGUGCGUAGGCGGCCCUUUAAGUCGGAUGUGAAAGCCCGCGGCUUAACCGCGGAAUGGCAUUCGAAACUGGAGGGCUUGAGUGUCGGAGAGGGUAGUGGAAUUCCCAGUGUAGCGGUGAAAUGCGUAGAUUUUGGGAGGAACACCAGUGGCGAAGGCGACUACCUGGACGAUAACUGACGCUGAGGCACGAAAGCUAGGGGAGCAAACAGG